CCGUGGUGGGUGAUAUCAUGGAUGGCUUCAUCAUGGUAUCAUGUAUUGACAUUAGAACUUUUGCUUAUUUUUCCGAUGGUUUUGAACUCUGAACUACUUUAUGCAUUGAAACUCGAUUUGUAAUAACUAAUUUGGGACCUCUGUAAUAUUCAUUUGGAUUGUAGUAAUCUUUGGGAUCGUCUUUGUACGGGUGUUGCAUGCUUGUUUCGAUCGGAAAUACGUGGUUGUAUCGGGUGAGACCCGACAGACUACCAUUUUGAUCCAUUCGUUGAGGCGAUGUUUAGCACACUUUAACCUGGUUAAUUUGGGUGAUUCUGCCACACUAGGGUUGAUCAAGUCAUCGACUCAAUGGCUGGGUGUGCUCUACUCUAUUUCCU
rnacentral:lncRNA from 1 species